rnacentral:misc_RNA from 1 species
GAUGAGAACGUAGCGAAAUGCGAUACUUGGUGUGAAUUGCAGAAUCCCGUGAACCAUCGAGUCUUUGAACGCAAGUUGCGCCCGAAGCCAUUAGGCCGAGGGCACGCCUGCCUGGGCGUCACACGUCGUUGCCCCCCCAUCUACUCCUUCGGGAUUGCGGGGGGCGGAUGAUGGCCUCCCGUGCGCCUCGUCGCGCGGUUGGCAUAAAUGCCAAGUCCUCGGCGACGCACGCCACGACAAUCGGUGGUUGCGAAACCUCGGUUGCCCGUCGUGUGCGGUCGUCGCGCAUCGAGGGCUCGAAAAAAUUGCCGGGCUCCGGCUCGGCUUUCAACGCGACCCCAGGUCAGGCGGGGUUACCCGCUGAAUUUAAGCAUAUCAAUAAGCGGAGGA